rnacentral:rRNA from 1 species
UGUUUAAUAAGAGUUAAAUUAAUAUAAUAUAAAUAAAAAAAAAAUUUUUAAAAUAAAAAUAUUUAAUUGGGGGGUUAAAGUAUUUUAAAUAGAAAAAAUUUUAUUAUUUAUAGGGGAUUAGUAUUGUAAAAGAAUUUUGAAAAAUGUGAAAUAAUAAUUUUUAAAAAAGUAGAUUUAAUUUAUUGUAUCUUGUGUAUCAGAGUUUAUUAAAUAAAAGUUUUUAAUAUAAAAAUAUCUCGAAUUUAAAAGAGUUAAUUAAUUAAUAAAGUUAAUGUUGCAUAAUUAUUUUUUAUAGUUAAUUGGAAAUGAAAUGUUAAUCGUUUUUAAAAAUAUCUAGUUUUUUUAGAAAAAAAUUUAAUUUUAAAUUAAAUUUUAUAGUUUUUUUUUAUUUAUUAAAAAAAAACUAAUUUUAAUUUAAUAUUUUAGGGGAUAAGCUUUAAAUUAAAAUUUUAUAAUAAAAUUAUUUAAUAUUUGAAAUUUUUAAAAUUUAUAUUUUUUAUAAAUUAUAAUUUUUUAUAAAUAAUUUCAUUUAUUUAAAAUUUAAAUAAAAUUAUUUAAAUUUUUAUAAAAAAAUAAUUUUUAAUGAAAUAAAAUUAGAAAUAAUGAUAAAAUUAGUAAAAUAUUUAAUAAAUAAAAUAAAAUUUAUAAUAAGGUAAUUAAAAGGAAUUCGGCAAAAAUUUAUAUUCACUUGUUUAUCAAAAACAUGUCUUUUUGUGAUAAUAAUUUAAAGUCUAAUCUGCCCACUGAAUUUGUUUUUAAAGGGCUGCAGUAUAUUGACUGUACAAAGGUAGCAUAAUAAAUAGUCUUUUAAUUGAAGACUUGAAUGAAUGAUUUGAUGAGAUAUAAACUGUCUCAUAAUUAAAAAUAGAAGUUAAUUUUUUAGUUAAAAAGCUAAAAUAUUUAUAAAAGACGAGAAGACCCUAUAGAGUUUAAUAAUUUUUUAUAUUUUUAUUUUUUAUAAAUUUUUCAAUUAAAAUAUAUAAAAUUAUUUUGUUGGGGUGAUAGAAAAAUUUAAUAAACUUUUUUUAAAAAAUUAACAUUAAUAUAUGAAUUUUUGAUCCAUAAUUUAUGAUUAUAAGAUUAAAUUACCUUAGGGAUAACAGCGUAAUUUUUUUUUUUAGUACAAAUAAAAAAAAAAGUUUGCGACCCCGAUGUUGGAUUAAAAUAAAAUAUAAAUGCAAAAGUUUAAAAUUUUGAUCUGUUCGAUCAUUAAAAUCUUACAUGAUCUGAGUUCAAACCGGUGUGAGCCAGGUUGGUUUCUAUCUUUAUAAACAUAAAAUAAUUUAGUACGAAAGGAUCAAUUAUUGUAAAUAAUUUAAUAUGUUUGAAUAUUAUUAAAAUAAUUUUA